rnacentral:rRNA from 1 species
UACGAAGGGUGCAAGCGUUAAUCGGAAUUACUGGGCGUAAAGCGUGCGUAGGCGGUUAUUUAAGUCUGUUGUGAAAUCCCCGGGCUCAACCUGGGAAUGGCAAUGGAUACUGGAUAGCUAGAGUGUGAUAGAGGAUGGUGGAAUUCCCGGUGUAGCGGUGAAAUGCGUAGAGGUCGGGAGGAACAUCAGUGGCGAAGGCGGCCAUCUGGAUCAACACUGACGCUGAGGCACGAAAGCGUGGGGAGCAAACAGG